CAUUGUACAGACCUACAGACGUCGAUGUCGCUUCCAGAGGUUCCCGUUCCGUAGGUCCGUUCCCUCCGCGCACAUCGUCGCGCACCAGCGUCGGCUCAGUCCGAUAUCGACGUUCGUGCGAGGCGCAUAUUCAAGCCCACACCGAGCCAGCCACACGCGCGGUGCGCGAAAUAUAUAUUUUACGCGGGCUUCUGCCGUUCUCGUCGUCGCUUCUCGCAUUUCCUGCUGACGGAACCACGUCGGAGUAACGUGAGGCAACAAAAACGAGGAAACGGACACUUGGCCACGGACUUGGCGGGUGAAGCGGAGGAGCGGUACACAUGGGUACCAAACGCCAGGGAAGUCUCGCUCUUCAACGGCACACGCGCGUCCGCGGCGACGUCAGUCCGACCCGUCCGAGGAUCACCGAGUUUAAAUAAUAAAUUAAAUAAUAAACCCGAUAACAGAAUUUUCCCGAGGUCUCGUAUCAAAUUCUGAAACAACGACGGCGACGACGUCGAGAGGCGCAACGUCUUCCUCGGAGUCAUCCAGCCGAGGAAGAUCAACUACGAUGCUGACCUCGUGACUUCCGACCACAUCGAUUCGCAAACGGCAGCGACUUAAAGGAAUACGACUCAUGAGGCAGGAAGACUAUACCGAUAUACGCCGAUUUCGACUCGAAGCUGAAGAGGGCUUUUCGUUUAAGGGCUGCCGAGAACACCCUCUGUGAACAUCGAGGCUACUUGAAAUCCCGAACGUCGCGUCGUGUGUCACCGUUGCUUCGAGAAGCCAGAAAUCAGCGGAGCCUCUCGUUCCUCUUUCUUUCAUCCCUUCCUCUCUCGCUCUUAUUUCUCUCUUUAUCUCUCACUCUUUUGUCUUCUCCUCUCUAACGCUCUCCCUCAUUUCGGUAUCCACUUCCGCGCGCGGAGUGUCGAUCGAUAUUUCGUCCCGACGGCGGCUAUUAACGACACGCGUACUUUCAUUCGCUCCCUCUCUCACUUCGUUUUUCACGCUACGAUUGCUUCCAAACGUAAAACGUUAGGUGCGCCGCAACCCCCUUGCGACCCCCGUCGCUUCUUCCGUCAAUGUCGGGUAGCGCGCGUUGAAACCUCGCGCGGCCGUGGCGAUAUCCUCCGAACCCGCGUUCUGGGUCGUCGAUAUCCUUCGACGGCGAGGACUUGUGUGACACGUGACCCGCGGGGCCCACCGGACUUCCCUCGCAACUCAUCGUAUACAUCGCGUCAGCCGGCGCUCGAUUUUUAUCGGGUCACCUACGUGCCACCCACUCCGUUUCGCGAAUAGGUCCUAGCCUAUCCUAUGACGUAUCCUUCCUCGUACCUCGCACCUUUGCCAUCCUGGCCGCAGCCCACUUCUACGCGGCCGCGUAUGCGUCCGCAAACAGUCAAUAAGGAGUACCGUCGGGGCACGUACCGGAGAGAGAGACGAACGGAACUCGGAUAAAGAACCGUUCCUUUCAUCGCAGAAUUCGUAAAGAAGGGGUGUACGCUUAAUAUUAAGAAACGAAUUGUUGCCGGUUACUCCUUGAGGAGGGAAGGACCGAUCUCAGUAUUUUUUUCGGACGCGAUAGUGCGGACGCUGUUGACCUUACAAAAUAAAUAGUGAAGAUAACUACUGUUGCUAUUGUUAUUGUUAUUGUUGUUAAUUAAACAUUAUUGUUAUCCCCCCCUGUUAUCGCUGCACGCUCGCUGCCCAUCCGCUCCCGUUGAAGUCAACGAGCAGAGCGCGGCGGUGGUAGUGGUAGUAAUAUAACAGUGAAGGGUUUUCGCGAGGUUUCUCGCGGACGCCAAGAUACGCGUGUUCCUGCCAAAUCGCGUCGAUAAUUGAUUUUGAAGAGCGGGAGAUCGUCAAUUCGUGUAUAUACACGGGGAAAAGGGGAAAUAAACGAGUGGGCAGGAAGUGGAGAAGAGAGAAGUGGCACGUGGAGUCGCGCAGGUGUGCCUGGGCGCGAACAAACACGAAAAGAGUGUGCUAAAGAUCUCAAUUAAGUCACACCACCCGCCGGGAGGAGUGAUCGAUUCUUUGUGUACCCAUCGAGAUCCACGGGAGAAUGGUAGUCGAGGCCGGAAGAAAUGGGCACGAGCUGGCUCCCUUGAACAACCACCGCCAACCCGGCCACAACGUGACGAUCGUCGCGACGGCAAGUCAAAAUGUUGGCCAGGAGACGAAGGAGGAGAACCGGGCGGCGUGGAGCGGAAAAAUGCAAUUCUUUCUCAGUAUUAUCGGAUACAGCGUUGGCCUGGGCAAUAUCUGGAGGUUUCCUUAUCUGUGCCAACAGAACGGAGGUGGUGCCUUCCUCAUUCCUUUUUUCGUGAUGCUCAUCUUGGAGGGUGUACCCCUCUUCCUGAUCGAGCUGGGUCUCGGACAACGUAUACGGCAGGGUGCCCUCGGUGUUUGGAACACAAUACACCCUUGGCUAGGCGGUAUAGGGAUCGCGUCGUGUAUAGUGACGUUUUUCGUUGUGCUUUACUACAACGUAAUUAUUACCUGGUGCGUCUUCUACCUCUUCAACUCGCUCGAGGCUGUCACGAUCAAAUUUGGUAAACCACUGCCAUGGGAAAAUUGCCCAAAGGAAUCGGACGGGAAACUGGUCGAGGAAUGUGUCAAGAGUUCGGAGACCGCGUAUUUUUGGUACAGGACUACCUUGGACGCGGCACCAUCCAUUGAUGACGGCCAAGGUCUCAAGUGGUGGAUCGUACUUUGUCUCUUGUUCAGUUGGACCAUUGUGUUUUUCAUCGUCAUGAAGGGAAUACAAUCGUCCGGCAAAGUGGUAUAUUUUACGUCCAUGUUCCCGUAUCUGGUACUGACCAUCUUUUUCAUCCGCGGGAUAACAUUGAAGGGUGCGAGCGUUGGACUGGCGCACAUGUACACGCCAAAGGUCGAGAAAUUGUUGGAUCCCAAGGUCUGGCUUGACGCGGCGACCCAGGUCUUCUAUAGCUUCGGGCUGGCGUUCGGCUCCCUGAUCGCUUUCGGCAGCUACAACACACCCAACAACAACUGCGUGAGGGACGUGAUCCUGGUGAGCGUGUGCAACGCGUUUACUGCCAUUUACGCGAGCGUUGUCAUUUUCGCCAUUUUGGGGUUCAAGGCAAUGUCAAACGUGGACAAGUGCGUCGUCAGCGCCCUGAUACAAGAUGGGCUGUUGGAUAAUUCGACCUCGUUCAACCGUGAGGACUACGAUCUCAUUAUUUCCAACUCCUCGGAGGCCAUAAAGGCAAUGAACAUCACAUUGAGAUGCAAUAUCAGCAACGAAUUGGACAACGCUGCCGAGGGCACCGGACUGGCUUUUAUCGUUUUUACCCAGGCGAUCGUGGAACUACCGGGCGCGCCGUUUUGGUCCUGCAUUUUCUUCAUGAUGCUUCUAGCCCUUGGCCUGGGCUCACAAAUCGGACUACUCGAGGGUAUGCUCUGCGUAAUCUUCGACAUAGAUCUUUUCAAGAGAAUAAAGAAGCAAUACGUGACAGGAGUUGUCUGUGUCACAUGCUUUUUCGUGGGGCUCAUCUUCUGUACCGGCGCCGGGGAGUAUUGGCUGAAGAUGUUUGACAGCUUCGCCGGCACCAUCGGUCUCGUUAUAAUCGCCCUGAUGGAAAUGCUCUCCGUGAUUUUCGUGUACGGCCACGAAAAAUUUACGAAGGACAUCGAAGAGAUGACCGGAUAUAAACCUGGGCCUUAUUGGCAAAUUACGUGGCGAUUUCUCGCUCCUAUAAUAAUGGUCUGCAUCCUUCUGUUCAGUAUCGGUUCCAUGAUCAUCGAGAAACCGCAAUAUUCGGCGUGGAAUGCGGCAACGGGUAAGGCAGUGCUCACGAGUUAUCCUGGCUGGGUGCUGGGGAUCGCCGUCGUCAUUAUUUUCGCAGGUGUCGCUCCGAUUCCCAUCGUUUUCCUUUUACGUCGAUUCCAAUUGGUAAAACUCGACGUGGAUAUACAUCAAGGCAGUAUUCGACGUAUCGACACCACCGUUUCUACUAAAGAAAUGAUGGGCGACGUUGACUUGUAGGUAAGCAUCCAUUCUGUCUGUGGUAACGUCGAUUACUCGAUAUCCCCGUAGCUACGUUACACCUUGACGAGUAUCACGAUCGGCUCGAGGACUUCCCGGAAGAAGAUGAAGAUAUUAAUAGCGACGAUGACGCGCCGAAUACCG